rnacentral:rRNA from 1 species
GCAUUCAGUUGCCAUCGGGUAAGUGCCGGGCACUCUGGAAGGACUGCCAUCGACAAGAUGGAGGAAGGUGGGGAUGACGUCAAGUCAUCAUGGCCCUUAUGUCCAGGGCGACACACGUGCUACAAUGGCCGGCACAACGGGAAGCGAGUUCGCGAGGACGAGCGGAUCCCUCAAAGCCGGUCGCAGUUCGGAUUGAAGUCUGCAACUCGACUUCAUGAAGCUGGAAUCGCUAGUAAUCGUGGAUCAGCCAAGCCGCGGUGAAUACGUUCCCGGGCCUU